CUGCGACGCUGUGGUGAUCUCCUGUAUACGGACUGCCUUUGUGAGAUGGCUUGGGACUCUUCAACCAUUCUGAUCCUCUGGGCACGUGCUCGGGCUUGAGCAGUCACCAGUGCCUGCAUGCAGCGGAGAGUAGCUGUAGCUUGCUUCCUCACCAGGUGGCCUCUCACCAAUGCUUGCAGUUUCACCAGACCUUUCAAUGCAUGAAAAAUGGACCAGCAAUGUGUUAAAGAGAGGAGAGGAGAAGAUGAAGUACCAGAUACGAUCUAAAGACGGCCUGAAUCUUGAUUGCAGCAGCCUCCUCAACAGCACUGGAUGUUUUACCAGUGGUGGCGGAGGUUAGACUCAUCACAUCUGCUGCAGCCUGUGCAGCAGCAACGGCAACACCUGCUGCUGCGGCAGCUGUCACUGCUGCAGCCGUUGCAUGCCUCAUUUGAUCAAUCUCAGCCUCUGACAGUGCAUUAGUGGGUGCACUUACUGUUUGGUCUGGAGAUGUCGAACCCUUCCGUGCUGCUGCUUCUUGUCUCCGGAAGCUCCAUCUAUUCUUCUCCUUUGGGGUGGGCAGUGGGAUUGGAUCUGAUUGGGCUUCUGUUGGCGAUGAAGAUGUUAAGGUCUCACCUUUAUCCUUCUCCUCCCUCUUGCACAUCAAGAAACUUUUCAGCCAUCUUCCCGCCUUCUCCAUUGCCCCUCUAAAGCAUUUUUACAAGAAGGAUUCAGGAGCCAUUUGCACCUAUAUGAUACAAAGAAACAAGCCUCCAUACAUCUAAUAUCGAGUGUGACUUAUGUCUGCUUUUAAUCUCUGGUGCAGGCCUGCAGGAAGAGAGGAGAGAAAUAUAUGAAGUGAAUAGCCAGCAAGCCUUAUCUUGUCCUGGAGUUAUUGAAGGGAUGAGCAGGGAAGUAUGGUUUUAUGGAUUAUUGAAUGGGCGAGAGGGUCAUGUGGACGAAAGGGUCAUGAACGUUGCUGGCGAUCGGUAGACAAUACUUUCUGCUUGUCAGCAUCUCAUGUCAAGUUGGGUCCAUCAUUGUCAGCAUUGGGUGCUAAUUUCCAGCACCCAAUGCACCAGCUUUUAGCUCUUGUACCUCUUUCCAGCAGAAAGGUUGACCUGUCAUGCGUCCUUCUGGUACUCAUCGUGAGAAAACUGCCAUCUUUGAAUGAUGAUUAGAAAUUUAGAAUUGUUCAAUUAGCACAUCAA